rnacentral:rRNA from 1 species
UACGGAGGGAGCUAGCGUUAUUCGGAAUUACUGGGCGUAAAGCGCACGUAGGCGGCUUUGUAAGUAAGAGGUGAAAGCCCAGAGCUCAACUCUGGAAUUGCCUUUUAGACUGCAUCGCUUGAAUCAUGGAGAGGUCAGUGGAAUUCCGAGUGUAGAGGUGAAAUUCGUAGAUAUUCGGAAGAACACCAGUGGCGAAGGCGGCUGACUGGACAUGUAUUGACGCUGAGGUGCGAAAGCGUGGGGAG